GUUUUAAUAGUUUAAAUAAAGCGCUAUUUUGUGAAGAUAGAGAUAUAAUUAUAUUUAAAACA
rnacentral:tRNA from 1 species